rnacentral:rRNA from 1 species
UACGUAGGGUGCGAGCGUUAAUCGGAAUUACUGGGCGUAAAGUGUGCGCAGGCGGCUCCGCAAGUCGAGUGUGAAAGCCCCGAGCUUAACUUGGGAAUUGCGCUCGAAACUACGGAGCUGGAGUGUGGCAGAGGAAGGUGGAAUUCCACGUGUAGCGGUGAAAUGCGUAGAUAUCGGGAGGAACACCUGUGGCGAAAGCGGCUCACUGGACCACAACUGACGCUGAGGCGCGAAAGCUAGGGGAGCAAACAGG